UUUUGUGAUCUCUACCCCAACAUGGGACUAGAACUCAUGACCUCAAGAUCAAAAGUCACAUGCUCUACUGAUUGAGCCAGCCAGGAACCCCUCUGAGGCAAAUUAUUUAACCUUUCUGAAACUCAGUUUGCUAGCUAAAUAUUAUAAUUAUCUCAUGACACCCAAGUUGACCUCAUAGGGUUGUUGUGAGGAAUAAAUGCGAUCUUCUUUGCCUAGCAUGUAGGAGCUGCCCGUUAAAUGCCAAGUGAAUGAUUGUAUAGAUGAUGGUUGCUUUGAGCUGGUGUGUGCACAGUGCCCUGCACAGUACCUGUUGUGAAGGACAGGUGAAGGGGAAAAGGUAAAAGGAUCAAGAGGAGUUGGGUUUGCCUCAGAUGUCAGUUUCUGCCAGCUGGGAGAUGGCAGAUACUUAGAAUGUUUAGCUUCUCAGACCAUCUAAAACUGUCACCCUAAAUUCACUGAGAAAUUACCGGGAGGCUUGGGGUUUUAUGCAGAAUGAUGGGCAAGGCCAUUGUAAGGGAUGAUCCUGGUGACAUAUGUAUAUUCCUUGAAACUCCUCCUCUUCUAAAUCCUCUGUCUUGCUUCAGAGGUUCCAUCCCUCUUCAACGUAUUCCCUAGUUUGCUUAAGCUCUUCUCCUCCCCAUCCUCUUUUUUAAAAGAUUUUAUUUAUUUAUUUGAGAGAGAGAGCACGAGCAUGAGUAGGGGGAAGGGGCAGAAGGAGAGGGAGAAGCAGACUCCCUGCUGAGCAGAGAGCCACAUGUGGGGCUUGAUCCUGGGACCCCAGGAUCAUGACCUGAGUGGAAGGCAGAGGCUUACCUGACUAAGCCACCUGGGUGCCUCUCCCCAUCCUAUUUCUUCAUGCACCUUGUCCAGCGUCUUUCCCCUGUUUGGAUUGUCUUCCACUUCUUACUUCAUCUCUUCCACCCAACCUUCUGGGGUAAAUCCUUGCUCCUCAUUAUUUUGAACCAAAUGGGCAGAUUCCCAGUUAGCACAGGAUGGAUCUCUGCUUACCUCAUUUGUGUAUUUCUCAUUUGUCUGUAGAGAGUUACAUUUCUGGAGAGUAGCCAUCACAGUGCCCAAACAACAACAACAACAACAACAACAACAACAACAACACUUGCUCAAUACAUAUAUUUUGGGUGAUUAUCAUGUAUCUCUUUAGACCUUCCAACAAAUAACAGGGAAGUGCCUAUGUGGAGAGCUGUGAUUCAUUUUUAGUGUGUGUUUGGAGACAUCAUGUUACUUCCCAGAGCCUAAGUUUCAUAAAUUGAGAGUAUUGCGUUUGAUCACUAGGGUCUUUUCCAGUAAGACAAGUAUGUGAUUCUAGGAAGUAUGUGGGUAAUAACUUAUAUGCUAGGCCGUCUUUGCAUGGCUGGCUCCUUGUAAUUCAGGGCCCCUAGUCACUCUAAUGUAUGGCCCCAGCUUUUAAUUUCGGAUGGUGAUAAGUUCAAGGAAGAGACUGUCUGCCUUCCUCCCUCCCUUCCUUCCCUUUUUCUCUCCUUCCUUGUUUGUUUAUUGUCUGUCUCUCCUCACUAAAAUGUGAGCGGCCAAGAGUUCAAGGCCCAUAUUUUAUUCACAGUUGCUUCCCUAGCAUCAAUAACGGUGCCUAUUGUACAGUGGGUGCUCUGUAAAUAUUUGUUCAAUGAAUGAAUGAGGUCCAUUAAACUGGAUAAAUCCACUUGUACUUGGACUGUGAAUAGCCACAUGCUUGCCACUAGACGAGUUCUAGUAGUUCAUCCCAUAUUCCAUCUAGAACUACACAUCAGUUGGGCUGGCUAGAUGGGUUUCCUCAUUGCCUGCAAGUCUCAGGGCAGGAAAUGCCACCACAACUUCAGCUGUUUAGGCAUCAAUGUUUGUCAUGCUGUUCCUUUUGUCUUUUAUAUCAUGCAGUGGCUUCUUACAGCCUGGGCUUUAGGAACCAUGCAUUUUAGUGGCCCCAGCCUUGUGACUAUGAUUUGAAGAUUUGUUUUAAUUUAUGAGUUCUUUGGACCAGUCCUUUCUCCCUUAUGAAGCAAGUCUGGAACCAUCAUUUGGUAAAUCCUGUUGAUAGUUUUUCAUCUCCCCCUGGCUGGUUCAUUACACUGUCUGGUUUAUAUGGUCUCCCUGUAGAUUGUCAGCUCAUUUGUAUAGUGGUUUGUUCUAUCUACAAUGCUUCAUUGUUUUCAAAGAAAAAUAGUGUUCACCAGCAAGCAUGGCCUCCGAUCUUGCUCUGCUGAGAUUCUGCAGAUAAAACAGCUCUGUAGAUGAAUGCUUGCUUGAGGCCCAGGGCUAGUGGAAUUUAGUGCCUUUCUGAAACUAAGUGUUUUGGGCAGGGUGGUGAUCUGGAACAGCUAGGACCUCUAGGAUGGAAACAGGAGUCAAUCUUAGUCAAACUGUAGAGCAAGGGCAAGGAGAGGGUGGGAAGAAUGAUGAAUAUGUACCAGGGACUAUGUUGUGCAUGAUUAUCUAAGUUAAUCCCCUGGCAAAGCAGGAGAAAACCAGUGCUUAUUGAUUUAGGUACCUACGGUGAGUAGGCUCAGCUAUCGACUCAACACAGACCCGGCAAACAUUAAAGGUCAUGGUUUUUUCACUAUACUGUGCAGAGCCUAGAAUAGUGCCUGAUACAUCAGGGAAUCUUCACUGAAUGAAUGAAUAAGUGAAUGAAUGAAUAUUGGCCGAUCUUGGUUUUACUUCUUUGCAAUUUCCAUUUUGAUGCCCUCUUUUCCAUCCGACUCUAGAACUGUUGGCCAGUUAGCCCCCCUCCCUAACUUUGGUACUCCCCAUGGGUCUCCUAUUCUCUUAAGUCUCUGAUCCAUUCCUAACCCUGAAAACUGAGCUCUCCAUCCAUCCAGACCUUCCAAUCUCAAUCCUACUCCUUUCAGGACCUUUGCUAAGAGUUUAGUAAGAAAACAGGUGCCGUGUGUUUAUGGUGCUCAUUAUACCCUUUUCAGGGUCCUUCUUGAAGAAUUACUUUAGCGCAAAGAUAGAUCUCUAAUAGCAGCUGCUUUGCCACAGUUGCAGUUAGGUAGAGGGGUAGAUUUGGGGUGGGAGGGAAUUUGAACGUCUUUUCAGUUGUCCUAGGCCUUCUGCUGCUUCUACAUAUGCUGAGGAAGCAGAAUUGAGAGAGGAACGUAGGUUCGAGGAGAGUGUGUGUUUGGGAGAUAGAACAGGGGAUUGAAGGAUAUUCCCGCUAUGAGGAAGGCCCUAUCAGCUGCAGAUCAAGACUCGUAAGUUUCUAAUGCUGGAGAAUGAAAACAAAAUCUCUUCUCCAGACUUCUUCCCUAGAUGUUAAUGAAUAGGAUGGGGGCUUUUGUUUUCCUACCUUUUUAGAAAAUGUAACUCUGUAUAUAACAACCUAUCCUACUAUAAGAACCUAUCCAUCAUAAAUAGGGAGGUUUGGGAGCAGAGCUUUGAAGCCUAAAAGACCCUCAAACCACUGUAUCAGUGCAAUUCCUGUCAUUCCUCUGCCCAACCCUCCAGGGGUGCCCGCUUACAGAAACCCAGCCCCGGCAUCUGAGAAGUGUAGAAGCUUAGAGGGCAGCCCCUCCAAUUGUUUUCAGGUAGUAGGGUUAGGAAAUUCUCUUCUUACUUGUGACUUCCAUCUUUUAGCCUGUGUGUGGCCUUCCGAAGGGGAACAGAUUCAGUCCUGUGUCAAGCACAACUCCAGCUAUAUCAGCCUAUUUCAGCCCUCAGAGGGAUAAUUAUGCAUGCAGCUCUGCUCUGCAGAGGGAAAGCACAAAAGGCAGUGUGAAAUUAAAGUCACAGAAGCGGUACUUUCUAGCUGAUUGUCCUCUGCCCCACACCCCCAAAUACAUAAAUGUGGGUAAAAACUACAGACGUGGGUCACAGUGUUUACGUUGACUGUGUGACAGAUUUUCUGCCACUGGGCCUCUGCAUCUUCAUUUGGAAUUUCUGGCUCUGUGUUGCUGAUUCUAAGCACCAUAGAAAUAAUCCCUGCUUUUUCAAUCUCUCUCUCUCUCUCUCUCUCUCUCUCUUUCUGUGUGUGUGUGUGUGUGUGUGUACGUGUGUUGAGUAGGGCGGGGUAAGAUAUCAGGAGGGAAGAAUCCCAGAGAUCUAGAUGAUUCUAUAAUUAAUAAAGAAGGAAGACCCUUCUGGAUUUUUUGCACCAUUCUCGAGUAAAGUCACUGCACAUGCCAUAGCCAUAAUCACUGAAUUUGAUUAAUCAUUGAAGAGAGAGUUGAGCUUUCAAAUGCUCUCCCUUUGGACACGGCAUCAUUCAUAUGUUUAGUGGGUAUUUACUGAGUGUCUACUGAGUGUAUAAUCCCAUUGCUGCUUCUACAUGGACUGUCUUAUUUAAGCCACCUGUGGGUUUGCAAUUGGCCAGGAAAGAAAAGUCGGUGAUAUUAGUCAAAUCAUCCUAAUUGCAGUCACCAUUUAUUGAAUUCUUACUCAUUAGAUAGAUGCUGUGUGAUUUAGGUAACCCUUGCUCGGCCACCACUCGCCGUGACUUCCUUGCCAAAUGGCUAUUAUCAGAAGUUCUGCAACCAGGAUCUGCCAGAUGGGGCUGCAGUCCAGGCUCUUCUGACUACGUAGCCUUGGAUGGCUCCUGGAAGUCAUGUUACCUUCUCAUAGGGACAGGGGCAACAACAGUGACUUUGUGCUGAAAACACCGUGAGUUCAGUGCAGUCCACACAGCCUCACGGAGCAUGAAAACAUCUUGUAGGGUUAAGUUUAGUCUAGGCAGACAUCAUGGAGGAGGUGUCUCCUUGGCAAAUCAUACAAUGAAGGGAGAAUUCAGAUUCCUGGGGAAAUCCACUUGGGCUUGCCUUGGUUUUGGUUUGCUUAGGAAUCGGAUAUAACUGACAAAUGGAAAAGCUACUCUCCUUUCUCUCCCUCCCUUUUUCCUUCAGUAAAGGAGACAGUCUAACUUAAAGGAAGAGAUCUUCUCCCUCUGACUCUCUCUUUUUGCCUGUGCUGAGGUAGGAAAACCCAUCUCCCUAUUCAUCUUCUUCUUCCCUCUCCCCUCAGACUGGAGUUCCCAUCCUGUACUUUGUGGUUUUCACUUAACGAAUGUUAAUGAGACAGCAUUGUAAUCACCGGAUUUUAUAAAUAUCUCAUCCACAAAUUGG
rnacentral:lncRNA from 1 species